rnacentral:rRNA from 1 species
AAAGGGUGCGUAGGCGGGUUUGUAAGUCAGUGGUGAAAUCCCCGAGCUUAACUUGGGAACUGCCAUUGAUACUGCAAGUCUUGAAUUUUCUGGAGGUAAGCGGAAUAUGUCAUGUAGCGGUGAAAUGCUUAGAUAUGACAUAGAACACCCAUUGCGAAGGCAGCUUACUACGGGAAUAUUGACGCUGAGGCACGAAAGCGUGGGGAUCAAACAGGAUUAGAUACCCUGGUAGUCCACGCCCUAAACGAUGAUUACUCGACAUUAGCGAUAUUACAGUUAGUGUCUAAGCGAAAGCAUUAAGUAAUCUACCUGGGAAGUACGACCGCAAGGUUGAAACUCAAAGGAAUUGGCGGGGGUCCGCACAAGUGGUGGAGCAUGUGGUUUAAUUCGAUGAUACGCGAGGAACCUUACCUGGGCUAGAAUGCUGGGAGACUGAUGGUGAAAGCCAUCUUUGUAGCAAUACACUGCCAGUAAGGUGCUGCAUGGCUGUCGUCAGCUCGUGCCGUGAGGUGUUGGGUUAAGUCCCGCAACGAGCGCAACCCCUAUCUUUAGUUGCCAUCAGGUAAUGCUGGGAACUCUAAAGAAACUGCCGUCGUAAGACGUGAGGAAGGAGGGGAUGAUGUCAAGUCAUCAUGGCCUUUAUGCCCAGGGCUACACACGUGCUACAAUGGGAAGGACAAAGGGCUGCCACUUAGCGAUAAGGAGCUAAUCCCAAAAACCUUCUCUCAGUUCAGAUUGGAGUCUGCAACUCGACUCCGUGAAGCUGGAAUC